UCCUUCCCUCACUAAGGACAAAGACCAUGCCUUAGUCGUCCAUGCAUCCCAAAGUCUACCGAGCUCAGGACCUGGCAUGAGCAGCUGUUCAAAAUGCUUGGGGAGGCUGGUGUGGAGAGUGGUGAGAGUGAUAGUCACAGGGAUGGAACCUGCAACGUAGGCAACCUAGGUAUGUGCCGUGACCGAGAAUCAAACCCAAGACCUUCCAGUACACAGGACAAUGAUCCAACCAACUGAGCCUCACCAGCUAGAGCAGUGAUUUAUUUUCUUAAGGCUCCAUCAGCAGGUGGAAUGGAAGACCCCUCCCACCCUGAUACCUUGGGCAACCAAGGCAUUAUACUCCUUCACUGCUUGCUCUGUCUGGAGGACCCGCACAUCAAUGCCUUGUUUCUCGAGGUAUUCCAGAGUUGAUGGGGGCACCUGUGAAGAAGGAAAAAGAGAAUCACCAGUCUAAAAUUUGGCAGUGAGCCCAAGAAGGCUAAAAGAUUUCUGUGAAGUUGACAGAAGUAUCAUGAUCUGUAUGCAUAAAGCUCAGAUGAAAUGGAAAUGGAAAGCGCAUGGAUUUUGGAGUUAGCCUUGGAUUUAAGUCCUUGCUAGUGCUGUGACCUUGGAUAUACAGAGAACUGGAGCAGUAUACGUAAGAGGGGAAAUCUUUUACCUUUUUCUUCUACAUUGAACCUUUUCUUCAACAAGCAUUUACUGAGCACUUACUCUACACUGGGCCCUAUACCAAGCACUGAGAAUUACUGAGAUGAACCAAAUAGGAGUUUUAGUC